UUGCUUCAGCAGCACACAUCCUAACACUGGAAUAAUACAGAGAAAAUUAGCAUUGCUCCUGCAUAAGGAUGACAAACAAGUUCAUGAAGUGGUUCAUAUUUUG
ensembl:snRNA U6 U6 spliceosomal RNA